rnacentral:misc_RNA from 1 species
GGAAGUAAAAGUCGUAACAAAGUUUCCGUAGGUGAACCUGCGGAAGGAUCAUUAUUGUAUAACCGAGGUGCGAGGGCUGUCGCUGACCCGAAAGGUCGUGCACGCCCGAGUGCCCUCACACACAUCCAUCUCACCCCUAUGUGCACCACCGCGUGGGUCCCCCUUUGACUUGUUCGGAGGGGGGCUUACGUUUUCACACAAACUUUGUAUGCAGUGUAGAAUGUAUUUUUUGUUUUUGCGAUCACGCAAUCAAUACAACUCUCAACAACGGAUCUCUUGGCUCUC